AGGUUAAUGUGAAUGUGAUCUCUAUCAUACUGAACAUGGUGAUAUUUGGUCAUUCAUUGUAACGGCUGUACAGCAGAUGCAGUAGUUUAUCUGCACAUCAUACAACAGAACACAAUUCUGAUAAAGUCAUCCAACCAAACUGCAGCUGAAUAUAAUCUCCAUCUGAUUCCACAAGUAAAAUCCACACAAUAACUCUGUAGUAGUGUGAGAAUGACAGUAAGAUUGGGGAAAUGUGGUAAAGGUGUUUCCAUACUUAGAGGACACUUUGCAUUGGCAGCACAUGCUUCAGUGAUCUGGGAGUGUUUAUAGUGCUGUGACUUUAACACUUCAUGACUGAGAGCUGCUGCUACAGCAACUUCACCCACAGCUACCAUGACUACCAUGAUCCCCGUCUUCAUCUGGACACUGAUCCUCUGGACUCAAGAAUGCAGAGGUCAAGUCACAGUAACUCAGACUCCUGCAGUGAAAUCUGUUCUUCCAGGAGAAACAGUCACCAUCAACUGUAAAACCAGUCAGGCAGUGGCUGGUGGUAACUACUUACACUGGUAUCAGCAGAAACCUGGAGAAGCUCCUAAAUUCUUGAUUAAGCUCGCAAAUCAGAGACAGUCAGAUUUUCCAGCUCGUUUCAGUGGCAGUGGAUCUGGAUCUGAUUUCACUCUGACCAUCAGUGGAGUCCAGACUGAAGAUGCAGGAGAUUACUACUGUCAGAGUUACCAUUCAAUCACUGGCUACUGGUUCACACAGUGUUAUAGAGUCGUACAAAAACCUCCCUCAGUCAGAUUGUAGAGAGACUGAACUGCUGCAGCUGGGAGCGACUGCAGGUGCUGAGUUGGAGGAUGUGAUACGACACAAUGACACUCUGUGGAGGAGA